AGAGUUUGAUUCUGGCUCAGGAUGAACGCUGGCGGCGUGCCUAACACAUGCAAGUCGAGCGAUUCUCUUCGGAGAAGAGCGGCGGACGGGUGAGUAACGCGUGGGUAACCUGCCUCAUACACAUGGAUAACAUACCGAAAGGUAUGCUAAUACAGGAUAACAUAAGAGAUUCACAUGGAUUUCUUAUCAAAGCUCCGGCGGUAUGAGAUGGACCCGCGUCUGAUUAGCUAGUUGGUAAGGUAACGGCUUACCAAGGCGACGAUCAGUAGCCGACCUGAGAGGGUGAUCGGCCACAUUGGAACUGAGACACGGUCCAAACUCCUACGGGAGGCAGCAGUGGGGAAUAUCGCACAAUGGGCGAAAGCCUGAUGCAGCAACGCCGCGUGAGUGAUGAAGGCCUUCGGGUCGUAAAACUCUGUCCUCAAGGAAGAUAAUGACGGUACUUGAGGAGGAAGCCCCGGCUAACUACGUGCCAGCCGCCGC
rnacentral:rRNA from 1 species